UUAACCUACGGGAGGCAGCAGUGAGGAAUAUUGGUCAAUGGGCGGGAGCCUGAACCAGCCAAGUCGCGUGAGGGAAGACGGUCCUACGGAUUGUAAACCUCUUUUGCCGGGAAGCAACGGGGUCCUUGCGAGGGCCCGAUGAGAGUACCCGGAGAAAAAGCAUCGGCUAACUCCGUGCCAGCAGCCGCGGUAAUACGGAGGAUGCGAGCGUUAUCCGGAUUUAUUGGGUUUAAAGGGUGCGCAGGCGGAAGAUCAGGUCAGCGGUAAAAUUGAGAGGCUCAACCUCUUCGAGCCGUUGAAACUGG
rnacentral:rRNA from 1 species